GUGGUGCUGGUUCGGCCACCCCGGACGAGCGGCGGGCGUACCCGGUCAGGCGAAGACGCCCCGAC
rnacentral:ncRNA from 1 species